GAUGAAGAACGUAGCGAAAUGCGAUAAGUAAUGUGAAUUGCAGAAUUCAGUGAAUCAUCGAAUCUUUGAACGCACAUUGCGCCCCUUGGUAUUCCGAGGGGCAUGCCUGUUCGAGCGUCAUUAUCACCCCUCAAGCUUUGCUUGGUGUUGGGGCCUGCUGUAAUAGGCAGCCCUUAAAAUCAGUGGCGGUGCUUCAAGGCUCUAAGCGUAGUAAUUCUCCUCGCUAUAGUGUCUAGUGGUUGCCAGCCAGAACCCCCCAAUUUUCAUGAUUGACCUCGGAUCAGGUAGGGAUACCCGCUGAACUUAAGCAUAUCAAUAAGCGAGGA
rnacentral:misc_RNA from 1 species